GUGAGGAAUUUUCCGCAAUGGGCGAAAGCCUGACGGAGCAAUGCCGCGUGAAGGAUGAAGGCCUAUGGGUUGUAAACUUCUUUUCUCAGAAAAGAAUUAUGACGGUAUCUGAGGAAUAAGCAUCGGCUAACUCUGUGCCAGCAGCCGCGGUAAGACAGAGGAUGCAAGCGUUAUCCGGAAUGAUUGGGCGUAAAGCGUCUGUAGGUUGUUUAAAAAGUAUUCUGUCAAAGAUUAGGGCUUAACCCUAGAUAGGCAGAAUAAACUUUUAAGCUAGAGUUUGGUAGAGGCAGAGGGAAUUCCCGGUGGAGCGGUGAAAUGCGUAGAUAGCGGGAGGAACACCAAAGGCGAAGGCACUCUGCUGGGCCAAUACUAACACUGAGAGACGAAAGCGAGGGGAGCAAAUGGGAUUAGAUACCCGUGUAGUCC
rnacentral:rRNA from 1 species